GGUAAACGGCGGCCGUAACUAUAACGGUCCUAAGGUAGCGAAAUUCCUUGUCGGGUAAGUUCCGACCUGCACGAAUGGCGUAAUGAUGGCCAGGCUGUCUCCACCCGAGACUCAGUGAAAUUGAACUCGCUGUGAAGAUGCAGUGUACCCGCGGCAAGACGGAAAGACCCCGUGAACCUUUACUAUAGCUUGACACUGAACAUUGAGCCUUGAUGUGUAGGAUAGGUGGGAGGCUUUGAAGUGUGGACGCCAGUCUGCAUGGAGCCGACCUUGAAAUACCACCCUUUAAUGUUUGAUGUUCUAACGUUGACCCGUGAUCCGGGUUGCGGACAGUGUCUGGUGGGUAGUUUGACUGGGGCGGUCUCCUCCUAAAGAGUAACGGAGGAGCACGAAGGUUGGCUAAUCCUGGUCGGACAUCAGGAGGUUAGUGCAAUGGCAUAAGCCAGCUUGACUGCGAGCGUGACGGCGCGAGCAGGUGCGAAAGCAGGUCAUAGUGAUCCGGUGGUUCUGAAUGGAAGGGCCAUCGCUCAACGGAUAAAAGGUACUCCGGGGAUAACAGGCUGAUACCGCCCAAGAGUUCAUAUCGACGGCGGUGUUUGGCACCUCGAUGUCGGCUCAUCACAUCCUGGGGCUGAAGUAGGUCCCAAGGGUAUGGCUGUUCGCCAUUUAAAGUGGUACGCGAGCUGGGUUUAGAACGUCGUGAGACAGUUCGGUCCCUAUCUGCCGUGGGCGCUGGAGAACUGAGGGGGGCUGCUCCUAGUACGAGAGGACCGGAGUGGACGCAUCACUGGUGUUCGGGUUGUCAUGCCAAUGGCACUGCCCGGUAGCUAAAUGCGGAAGAGAUAAGUGCUGAAAGCAUCUAAGCACGAAACUUGCCCCGAGAUGAGUUCUCCCUGACUCCUUGAGAGUCCUGAAGGAACGUUGAAGACGACGACGUUGAUAGGCCGGGUGUGUAAGCGCAGCGAUGCGUUGAGCUAACCGGUACUAAUGAACCGUGAGGCUUAACCUU
rnacentral:rRNA from 1 species